UACGUAGGGGGCAAGCGUUGUCCGGAAUCAUUGGGCGUAAAGCGCACGUAGGCGGCCCGGUAAGUCCGUUGUGAAAGUCAGAAGGCUCAACCUCUGGAGGCCAAUGGAUACUGCCGGGCUAGAGUCCGGAAGAGGCGAGUGGAAUUCCUGGUGUAGCGGUGGAAUGACGCAGAUAUCAGGAGGAACACCAAUGGCGAAGGCAGCUCGCUGGGACGGUACUGACGCUGAGGUGCGAAAGCGUGGGGAGCGAACAGG
rnacentral:rRNA from 1 species